CSSKCAGUAGGGAAUCUUCCGCAAUGGACGAAAGUCUGACGGAGCAACGCCGCGUGAGUGAUGAAGGUUUUCGGAUCGUAAAGCUCUGUUGUUAGGGAAGAACAAGUACCGUUCGAAUAGGGCGGUACCUUGACGGUACCUAACCAGAAAGCCACGGCUAACUACGUGCCAGCAGCCGCGGUAAUACGUAGGUGGCAAGCGUUGUCCGGAAUUAUUGGGCGUAAAGGGCUCGCAGGCGGUUUCUUAAGUCUGAUGUGAAAGCCCCCGGCUCAACCGGGGAGGGUCAUUGGAAACUGGGGAACUUGAGUGCAGAAGAGGAGAGUGGAAUUCCACGUGUAGCGGUGAAAUGCGUAGAGAUGUGGAGGAACACCAGUGGCGAAGGCGACUCUCUGGUCUGUAACUGACGCUGAGGAGCGAAAGCGUGGGGAGCGAACAGGAUUAG
rnacentral:rRNA from 1 species